rnacentral:lncRNA from 1 species
UGUGCCUAAGUUCUUGUGGGAUGAUGCAGUUAUGACAGCCACAUACUUGAUCAACCGGACACCUUCCAGGAUACUAGGCAUGAAAUCUCCGUCUGAGUUGCUCAUUGGAGAUAAUAAGUUUGUUGUUCCCCCAAAGUUGUUUGGCAGUAUCUGCUUUGUUCGUGAUCACCGACCUUCUGUUGGAAAGCUUGAUCCUCGGGCAGUGAAGUGUGUCUUUCUGGGAUACUCGUCUAGUCAGCAAGGGUAUAAAUGUUGGUGCCGCUCUGAAAAACGCAGGUUUGUAAGUAUGGAUGUUACCUUCAGGGAGUCUGAGCCAUUCUAUGGUGAGCCGACUGAUCUCAGUCUACUGUUUGCAGAGCUUGACCACCUACACCCUGUGCGUGAUGGUCAAGAGGGGGAGAAGG